CCUGGGCAAUGCUGUGUCCUGCGGUUCACUUCUUGAACUUGGUGUGGCACACAGCUUGGGGGUGAGCCCAGAAGUCAUAAGCCACCUCAUGGCUGCUCUCUGGAGCCCCUUCCUGGCUCGUCUCUGUCACGUUCCGGCUGCCUGGGGCUCCGCCUUCCAGUCCUCUGGCAGAAGUUGGGGGCUUCACUCACCCCACGCUCCUGUACACUCCCCCGACUGAGCCUGCAUCUUGAGACAGAAAAGGCCUGGCUCUCCCCCUCCCCUCGAAGCAAGCGGGUCCCACCCUCUGGAGCGUGUCUCCUCUGACUGGAGAGCAGGGUCUCACCCCUAAAAAGGUGCCUGUGAGCCCUGCUGCCUUGACUGCAGCCCGGCUACAGGUGGGACUGCCAGGGGCCCCAAACCAGCAAACAGAGCCACCCUCCCCAUCCCUCUCCUCUCCCUCGCUGAGCCAGAGCUAGAGGGCUUCUGGAGCCCCCUGUCCUUGUCACAGCCCCUGGCUGACUUCUGGCGCAGCGGAGUCCAGCCAGGGCCACAGGGGGAAGACCCUGAGGCUCACCGCCAGGGGCGCUUGCUGGGAGAGACCAGGCCCAUCUCACCCAAAGUGGGAGCCCAGGAGACGGGAAAGAAAAAGGCCACAAGCAAACGCACCUCCUUUGUCUCGCCUGGGCGGCGCUUCCUGUCUUGCCUCCUCUGGCUUUUCUUUACCGAAGUGAGUGAGUGUGUACAUGGACGUCGUAUUCCGGACCACCGGAGGGUGAACUGCAGGUACCAGUCCACCUGGACAUGUCGUCAUGCCUCGCUCCAGAAAUGGCUCCUGGGGAGCAGCCUGCCCCGGAGACCUCCGUGGCGAUGUCACGUGCCACCUCCUUCAGUGCAUAAUUGCACAACCGGUCCUUCCCCAUCCACAGUCUCAUAAUUUAUCUGUGUCCCUUGUAAACAGUAUCCAUUUUAAUAAAAAAAAACCCAAACAGA
ensembl:lncRNA